rnacentral:rRNA from 1 species
UACGUAGGGGGCAAGCGUUGUCCGGAUUUACUGGGCGUAAAGCGCGUGUAGGCGGCUACGCAGGUCCGUUGUGAAAACUGGAGGCUUAACCUCCAGACGUCGAUGGAAACCGUAUGGCUAGAGUCCGGAAGAGGAGAGUGGAAUUCCUGGUGUAGCGGUGAAAUGCGCAGAUAUCAGGAAGAACACCCGUGGCGAAGGCGGCUCUCUGGGACGGUACUGACGCUGAGACGCGAAAGCGUGGGGAGCGAACAGG